CCAGUUAGUCUUGACGUUUUUUUGAAGAACUGAAAGGUCCUAUUUUAAGUGUAAAGAUAAGACUACCCAUGAUUUGGGCGCGUGGGGUUCGAAAAGUGAGGGUUAAUUUGGGGCAGUGUUUAUGUGCAAUUUACGGAAAAGUCCAACAGUGAAUUGGGGCGAUCGAAUCCGUAAUAGUGAAUGCAGACUAGUUUUGGAUUUGGCGUGAAUUUGGAUGAUCGAAUCCAAUGUUUCAAUGUUUUCUGGUGCGAAUUUGGUGUGAUUUUGAUUUGAGUUUGGUAACGUUGAUGUUGUUUGAUGAAAUUAAUAGUUCACUACGUUUGUAAACCCUAGUUGCCCAAUCCAACAGUUGAUUACAUCUAUCCUCCAAAAUACGUCGCGGGCGGCAUUGGUGAGGGUUUGACCAAAGUUUGGAUCGUAUCUCCAACGGUGUAGCCAACAGCUAGACAUUGCCGUCCACGGAAAACGAUUGUGGAGAAUAUGGCGCAAGCUGCAUCUGCGAAACGACGUGGGCGUGGGGGUAUUUUGGCCUGCAAUUAACGUUGUCAGCAGAACACCAGGGACCUUACGUCAGUCUGUCGGAGGCGUCGUUCACAGUGUGGGUGAAACAUCAAAGCUAUUUGGUAUUAGUUGAUGUUAAUCGAAGAAUACAAUUGGUGUAAUCGUGAACUACUGUGUUUGUUGUUGAUGUUGUUUUGUGAUGAUGAUGUUGCUUA